ensembl:lncRNA
UGUCUAUCAUGCAAACUAGAGGUGACUAAGGCAAUCUGCUAGUGACAAAAGCAAUCACAAAAAGGGCUAAGAUGAAGCACCUUUUUUGUAACUAUUUCACCUAGCAACAACCAGCAGCCAGUUGGGAAAUACAGUUUUUUUUUUUCAAAAUGACCAGAAGCUGUAUUAUAUCUAACAUGUCAGCCAACUCACAAGCAAUGUGCACAUGACAUCAUGCACAGCGUCUAUAGUGAAUUUGUUAAGUGAGUUACAAUCGUAAAAAAAAAGAGAGCAUAUGAAAGACUGGCAGUGGAGACAGCAGAGCCGUAUUUGCUAUCGAAUGAAAUUUCACGGACUCAAAGAUGUUGUAAUUCUUGCUUAAAGCACCUCUUGCAUGGAACGUAUGUGUAAAAUUACUGUGUUACAGCCUUCUAGUUUCAGUUAUUUAGGUAAUCCAAUUAUGAUACAGUAACUGAUGAGUAACGAACCUGCUGGGGCAAAGUAGACAGUCUUGUUUUUGUCCCCAGUGACAGCUUCAUACAUUGCAAAAUGCUUUUAUAUAAUACCAAAUAGAACACUGUCAGUCAUACCACUAAGUGAAGUGUAAAUAAAUAUAACCAAAGUCUGAGUGAAAAUCUAAAAUAUUGGGAAAAAAAUUACUUUCUCAAAGCUACAUCUUUACUACAUGUAAACACUUGUUGUUUUUAAAACUUUCUUUCAGAUACACAACAGUCUCAUAUCUUUAUGUAAGAUGUUAUUUUGCUCUUUGUACACGAUGUGUGACACUGCCAGAACAACUGGCUUCUGCCUUGACAUGUCAAACAGGGCCGUGUCAAUCUAACAUUUGCAUGCUUUAUGGAAAGAUAAAGCAUCGCGUUGCCAGAUCUCCAUGCCAGAGGAUCUCUGACGCAUGCAUGUUUUUACUCCCACCACUUCUCCAGUGAUGUUAAACUCUUGUCUGGGUGGCUUUGAAUCCAGGUUUAUUGUGGUUUCAUGGGCUGUUGGUGCGUUGGUAUGUUGAGUGUAAAUGCCAGUCCCGAGUUAUGCAUCAUUAAAAGCUCAUGUUGAUGGUGAACUGUAAUGCUUUCUUAACCAAAGGGCAGCACUGUCUAAUCAAGUGUCUGUAGUUGAACAGCUAUGACUUUCUAAUGCAAGAGUCACAGAAGCUGCCCCCAAGAUAAGCAGUAGAUCUCAGCAGCCCAUUGAUAAAUAUUUUAAUAUAAAUGCUUUUCAGAAUUGAAAUUCAUCGUGUCAGUACAACAUGUAUAAACUGCAAAACAUGAAACCAUUCUGUUAAUAAAAACGCUUGUUAAAAACAAGGCGGUAUCAAA